GAAGCAGCCAUCCUUGAAAGAGUGCGUAAUAGCUCACUGGUCAAGUGAUUCCGCGCCGACAAUGUAGCGGGGCUCAAGCACACCGCCGAAGUCAUGUCACUGCGAUAUUACCCCCAACGGGGAUCGUGGUGGGUAGGGGAGCGUCGUGUGCCGGGUGAAGCAGCGCCGGAAGGUAGUUGUGGACGGUUCACGAGUGAGAAUGCAGGCAUGAGUAGCGAUACACACGUG
rnacentral:rRNA from 2 species